ensembl:lncRNA
GGCCCACAGAGACACCGGUGGAGCUGUAGGAGUCCCUCUCUGCAUUGGCCACCUGACAGCAGGCUACUGGAAACAUAUCACAGCACCGCAGCCCUUAAUGGUGAUUCACACACGCACACACACAGCUGUUUGUUUUGGACUGCCGAGAUGUUUUCCACCUCCUCCCGAUCCGUGAUUCAGAUAGAGCGCCAGAGCGGGAAGGGUGAGGUAUUGUCUCGUGGUCUGAAAAAUGAACUCAUUCCCUCCACACAUGAUAACUCUUGCAGACGGCCAGAAGGAGGGCGAUGAGGACAAAGGGGAGGGAUGGAUAUGGGUCAGGAUGAUGAGACACGCAGAGCCAGACGUGGUUUUUCAGAACGACUCAAAAAAAAACAGCAGCGGCAAUGGAAACGAUGUUUUGCUACUUGGCUUUGAAACCACAAAAAUUCUGUCUACAAAGUCUUGGCACCAACAGGCGGUCGGUUACUCUGCUUGAGAGCUUCAGUGGGGAAGAGCAUGAGUUCUGCACUUCUCUUGGUGCCGUCUGCAUUAGAGGGAACUCUUACACGGCGCUAUGAAGACACCAGACGAGAUAGAGAGGAGCUUCCACAACUACCAGGUGCCCGCUUGAGACAAAGCUGAAG